rnacentral:misc_RNA from 2 species
CUGAGUGAGGGCCCUCUGGGUCCAACCUCCCACCCGUGUUUAUUGUACCUUGUUGCUUCGGCGGGCCCGCCUUUACGGCCGCCGGGGGGCUCACGCCCCCGGGCCCGCGCCCGCCGAAGACACCCUCGAACUCUGUCUGAAGAUUGUAGUCUGAGUGGAAUUAUGAAUUAUUUA